GACGAACGCUGGCGGCGUGCUUAACACAUGCAAGUCGAACGGAAAGGCACUGCUUUUGUGGGGUGCUCGAGUGGCGAACGGGUGAGUAACACGUGAGUAACCUGCCCUUGACUUUGGGAUAACUUCAGGAAACUGGGGCUAAUACCGGAUAGGAGCUCCUGCUGCAUGGUGGGGGUUGGAAAGUUUCGGCGGUUGGGGAUGGACUCGCGGCUUAUCAGCUUGUUGGUGGGGGAGUGGCUUACCAAGGCUUGGACGGGUAGCCGGCCUGAGAGCGUGACCGGCCACAUUGGGACUGAGAUACGGCCCAGACUCCUACGGGAGGCAGUAGUGGGGAAUAUGGCACAAUGGGCGGAAGCCUGAUGCAGCAACGCUGCGUGCGGGAUGCCGGCCUGCGGGUUGUAAACCGCUUUCGCCUGUGACGAAGCGUGAGUGACGGUAAUGGGUAAAGAAGCACCGGCUAACUACGUG
rnacentral:rRNA from 1 species